rnacentral:rRNA from 1 species
AGAGUUUGAUCAUGGCUCAGAAUCAACGCUGGCGGCGUGCCUAACACAUGCAAGUCGAACGCGAAAGUGGAGCAAUCCAUGAGUAGAGUGGCAAACGGGUGAGUAACGCGUGGGCGACCUACCUCAGAGUGGGGGAUAACCUUCCGAAAGGAGGGCUAAUACCGCAUGACAUACCGUGUUUAGAUACACGGAUAUCAAAGCCGGGGAUCGCAAGACCUGGCGCUUGGAGAGGGGCCCGCGUCCGAUUAGCUAGUUGGUGAGGUAACGGCUCACCAAGGCUCCGAUCGGUAUCCGGCCUGAGAGGGCGGACGGACACACUGGAACUGAGACACGGUCCAGACUCCUACGGGAGGCAGCAGUGGGGAAUUGUUCGCAAUGGGCGCAAGCCUGACGACGCAACGCCGCGUGGAGGAUGAAGACUUUCGGGUCGUAAACUCCUUUCGACCGAGAUGAAUUCCCGCCGACCUAACACGUCGGCGGGGUGACAGUAUCGAGGGAAGAAGCCCCGGCUAACUCCGUGCCAGCAGCCGCGGUA